rnacentral:rRNA from 1 species
CCUACGGGCGGCAGCAGUGAGGAAUAUUGGUCAAUGGACGAGAGUCUGAACCAGCCAAGUAGCGUGAAGGAUGACUGCCCUAUGGGUUGUAAACUUCUUUUAUAAAGGAAUAAAACGAGGCACGUGUGCCUUUUUGCAUGUACUUUAUGAAUAAGGAUCGGCUAACUCCGUGCCAGCAGCCGCGGUAAUACGGAGGAUCCGAGUGUUAUCCGGAUUUAUUGGGUUUAAAGGGAGCGUAGAUGGGUUGUUAAGUCAGUUGUGAAAGUUUGCGGCUCAACCGUAAAAUUGCAAUUGAUACUGGCAGUCGUGAGUACAGUUGAGGUAGGCGGAAUUCGUGGUGUAGCGGUGAAAUGCUUAGAUAUCACGAAGAACCCCGAUUGCGAAGGCAGCUUACUAAACUGUGACUGACAUUGAUGCUCGAAAGUGUGGGUAUCAAACAGGAUUAGAUACCCGAGUAGUC